AGUGAACGCUGGCGGUAGGCCUAACACAUGCGAGUCGAACGGCAGCACAGUAAGAGCUUGCUCUUACGGGUGGCGAGUGGCGGACGGGUGGGGAAUACAUCGGAAUCUGCUUUUUCGUGGGGGAUAACGUAGGGAAACUUACGCUAAUACCGCAUACGACCUACGGGUGAAAGCAGGGGAUCUUCGGACCUUGCGCGAUUGAAUGAGCCGAUGUCGGAUUAGCUAGUUGGCGGGGUAAAGGCCCACCAAGGCGACGAUCCGUAGCUGGUCUGAGAGGAUGAUCAGCCACACUGGAACUGAGACACGGUCCAGACUCCUACGGGAGGCAGCAGUGGGGAAUAUUGGACAAUGGGCGCAAGCCUGAUCCAGCCAUACCGCGUGGGUGAAGAAGGCCUUCGGGUUGUAAAGCCCUUUUGUUGGGAAAGAAAAGCAGCAGGUUAAUACCCCGCUGUUCUGACGGUACCCAAAGAAUAAGCACCGGCUAACUUCGUG
rnacentral:rRNA from 1 species